rnacentral:lncRNA from 1 species
CUUGGGGUAAUAGCUUCUUGUAGAUCUCUAGACCGUUGCUUGGAUAUCUCAUGCCAAUGCAAGAUUUCCUUUUAAAAUGGACAAUUUUAAUUAAGGAUAUUUUGCAUCUUUGGAAUACCAUAAUUUCCUCUUGAUUGUUGCUCCAUUGUACUUCCUUACUUAGCAAAGUCACGAUCCACUAUUGCCUUUACUUCCUUGUGUAAUAGUUUUUAUAUUCAAU